GAUGAACGCUGGCGGCGUGCCUAAUACAUGCAAGUCGAGCGAACGGACGAGAAGCUUGCUUCUCUGAUGUUAGCGGCGGACGGGUGAGUAACACGUGGAUAACCUACCUAUAAGACUGGGAUAACUUCGGGAAACCGUAGCUAAUACCGGAUAAUAUUUUGAACCGCAUGGUUCAAAAGUGAAAGACGGUCUUGCUGUCACUUAUAGAUGGAUCCGCGCUGCAUUAGCUAGUUGGUAAGGUAACGGCUUACCAAGGCAACGAUGCAUAGCCGACCUGAGAGGGGGAUCGGCCACACUGGAACUGAGACACGGUCCUGACUCCUACGGGAGGCAGCAGUAGGGAAUCUUCCGCAAUGGGCGAAAGCCUGACGGAGCAACGCCGCGUGAGUGAUGAAGGUCUUCGGAUCGUAAAACUCUGUUAUUAGGGAAGAACAUAUGUGUAAGUAACUGUGCACAUCUUGACGGUACCUAAUCAGAAAGCAACGGCUAACUACGUG
rnacentral:rRNA from 1 species